UUUAUGGAGAGUUUGAUCCUGGCUCAGGAUGAACGCUGGCGGCGUGCCUAAUACAUGCAAGUCGAGCGAACGGAUGAGAAGCUUGCUUCUCUGAUGUUAGCGGCGGACGGGUGAGUAACACGUGGAUAACCUACCUAUAAGACUGGGAUAACUUCGGGAAACCGGAGCUAAUACCGGAUAAUAUUUUGAACCGCAUGGUUCAAAAGU
rnacentral:rRNA from 1 species